GCGCUCGGCCGCCCACAUGGUUGAGGGCCUUGUCCCGUGUAUGCGGGGUGGGAGUUCGAGUCUCCCUGGGCGCA
rnacentral:tRNA from 1 species